CCCCCCCCCCACAAGCAUCAGCUCUAUUGUCUGAGGAAUCAAAAAUUCUUGUGCAUACCUGCUCAUCUGCAUUAUCCUUUGUUUUGUAGAUACAAGGAACUGCAGGUACAGGCUUACAGAAAAAACCCUACAAAGUGCUGGAGUGACUCAGCAGGUUAGUCAGAAUCUCUGUUGGAAAGGUGACGUUUCGGGCCAGUACCUUUCUACAUACCCACUACAUACUUUUUAACCUUGUUCCUGGUUCCCUAGAAUAUCUCUGCAGGAACUGAUCCCUCUUUUUUACCAAUGAAAUGAUGUGAUUAUAAUGGAGUGAAUUGGAUACACAGAGCAGAAUUUUGAAUGAGAUCAUAUUUGCUGCCUUUCUUAUUUGGGAAGAGUAUUUUGAAGCUGCAUGUCAGAGUUUCCAUGUCUUGGCUCCAUUUCUGGCAGAAUGUGUUUUUACUUGCAGAGUUUGCAUUACAGUAUCAACAUGGGGCAAAUUAAAUUUGUCAACGUAGCUGCAAAACCAUUAGAGCCUUGAAAUGUACAUCUGCGAUCCCAGCAGAGAAAGGAGCAGCUGGUCCCAGGAGUUAAUGACACUUCAUCAAAUGUGCAGGAUUUAAACAAAGAGCUGCAGAAUAAGCUGGAGCCUAGAAAUCUUUUGGUGUGCUCAAAUGCAAAAUGAAACAAAUGCACACAUCUAUGCACAAAAGCCAAAGCCAAACGACAGUUGAGAUGAUUUACCUUAUUUUAUUAUGUAAGAAUUAUUUUUCUCUAGCGUAAACCACUAUCUACAAUAAUCUGAGCAGCAUUUGCUAGUUCUGAAGGUAAACAGGCAGGUUAGUUGUUAUUAGUUAUUUUAAGAUUAAUUUUUUUUCGCACAAUUAUUUGUAAAAUUGAGAUUUGAGAGAUACAGCGCGGAAACCGUCCCACCAGCCGACCAGUGAUCAACCGUACACUAGUUCUAUCCUAAGCAGUAGGAACAACUUACAGAAGCCAAUUACCUACAAGUGCUCACGUCUUUGGAGUGUGGGAGGAAACCGGAGCACUCAGAGGAAACCCAAGUGGUCACAGGGAGAAUGUGCAAACUCCAUAUGGACAGUACCCAAGGUCAGGAUCGAACCUUGGUCUCUGGCACUGUGAGACAGCAACUCUACCACUGCGUUGCCCACAGUUAUUAAAAAAAAUAAAAUAAAUUUUGUCUAUGAUUUUGUCAAUGUCCCAAUGAAACAUCGCUGUAAUUAAGUAAUUACUAUGAUUUUCCAAAUAUAGUAUUAUAACCAUUGAAAUGUUAGAAAUUCUGAUUACUCAGUGAUUAGUUGCCUUGAAUGAUCCAUCAUUGAGCAGUGUAGUCUGUGGAGGACAUGGGCUCUAUCCCCCAGUUAACAGGUUGCAGCUGUGAUAGUGACAGGGUCUCUGCAACUUACUUCAGUGAUUAGGAAUAAGGAGGGAAGAAGACUGGAUAACCUAAGCCUCCACGUUUGGUGGUGGAGGCAAGAAAGUGAGUGAAGUACCUGAGAGGUAAACACCCUUGGAGUUGGACUCUCUUGAGCUGUGCUCCCUUCAGCAAAGACUAAGAGGAAUCUGAGAUCUAAUAUAGCUGAUUACUUCAGCGAUUCAAUAUAUUGUCAAAUCUUGGCACAUUUUAUGAUUUUAUACAUUUUCUUUUCCAUUGCUCUUCAAUAAUAAUUUUUAAAAUUAGUUGAGGUCCAUUGCGUCCAUUAAUCAAAAUCUAUGCACAGCUGCAACAUUUUCUUUAUUGUUCUUGCCAAAGUAAUCAAAUUUAAGUGGCAAUUCUCAUUAGGAUAAUAAUCAAAAUGUCCACAAGCCAACUGUGCCUCGAUUCCUUCUCACACUACCCUCAGUUUCCCAUUUCUCUGUCCUUUUAAAUGUCACUGGAAAAUCUUCCCACAACCAUAUUGGUACAGGACUGAAGAAGAUGCAACUGAUUCAUGUAUAGGUACCACCUCUCCCACAACCAGUAUCCGAGGAACCUAAAGCCCCCCUCUCUUGUGCCAUUCAUUUGGUGACCCAUGCAUAUGAGUUACGUAUGCGUAUAUAUAUAUCUAUACUAUUUAAAGUCCCAUCUUGUAUGUAUAUAUACGUGUGUGGUCUGUGUCUUUCUACCUUCGUCAAAACGCCACGCGCUAGCGCAGAAAUUUUCACGCAUUAUUAAUCACAUUAACUCAGUCGACAAAAUAAACUGCUUCACUUCACAUUACAUGCUAUAUUUCACAACUUAUACUGUUUUAAAAAUAGCGAAAACCAAUGGCAAACCUUCAGUGACAUCACAAAGAGGAGGUGGGCGGCCACCAAGGGGGAGUGGGUAGCCACCAGCUUCCAGUGAUGUCGCAUUUACAUUAACUUUCAGCUUUUUCCGACCUGGCCUUCUACCGGCUGGGUUUUUACGAGGAGGCAUCAAGACCUCGGUGGUGAAGGAGACAUCGAGACCGCAGUGGUGAGGCCUCGCUCGGGUUCUCGGGUCCAUGCCCGCCCAUGGCCUUGUUCGGGUCCUCAGGUCCACGCCCUCCCGCGAAGAAGCAGUGCAGUGGCACAGCAGUAGAGUUGCUGCUUUACAGCGCCAGAAAACCGGGUUCGAUCCUGACUCCGGGUGCUGUCUGUAUGGAGAUUUACGUUCUCCCUAUAACCGUGUGGGUUUUCGCCGGAUGCUCGUUUCCUCCUACACUACAGAGGAACGAAUUGGUGAAUUUUCACAAGUACAGACGACCCUGUAACUUUAACAGAAAUACAGCCUUAAGGAAUUCACAAAUCACUACCAAAAAAAUCUGGGAUAUGGAUAAUAAUUCACUGUUACAACAUUUAUAUGAAAAAGCAGAGACGGGAUGAAAUCUGGCACAUCUGUUAUCUGUGUGAUUUGGUACAACAUCAGCCAUAUCAUCACAGAGCCAACACGAGAACUGUGUGAAGAGGGGAUGUCUGACAGAAACCAGUGAGUGGUAUCUGAUGUCUGCAGCUCCAUAAUGAUUACAAACAUUCAUACAGAGACAUCAAACGAGUGAAAGACCUCCAUGUACAACUCCUAAAUAAAGGAAAAGAAAAAUAUUCUGAUGUGCACUCACACAAAAUGGGGUAACAUCUGCUCAAAUGCUGCUCCAUAAUAUGAUGCAUUCCAGUUUUAUUAAACAGGAAGCAGUUCGAGAGGUUGGCUUCUAAACAGAAUCUUGGACAU